UACGGAGGAUGCAAGCGUUAUCCGGAAUGAUUGGGCGUAAAGGGUCCGCAGGUGGCAGUGUAAGUCUGCUGUCAAAGAAUGAGGCUUAACCUUAUCAAGGCAGUGGAAACUACACAGCUAGAGUACGGUCGGGGUAGAAGGAAUUUCUGGUGUAGCGGUGAAAUGCGUAGAGAUCAGGAAGAACACCGGUGGCGAAAGCGUUCUGCUAGACCUGUACUGACACUGAGGGACGAAAGCUAGGGGAGCGAAUGGG
rnacentral:rRNA from 1 species